UGGAGGUUUCACACAGUUUCACCCCAGAGUUCUCAAUCCUGUCAUUCAACAACUUACAUGGAACACGACUGUCACACAGAUGGGUCAGCAUCAGAACUUGUGCUGUUUAGAUGACUACAAGUGAAGAUUUGAUCAGAAUCCUGUGCCCUGAGGGAAUUUUGAAGUCAAGACAAGAAGACAAAAGAGUUUAAUAUACUGUAAUAUACUAUAAGGCCUGAAGACCACACUGGACAAACUGAGGAAUCACCUGUUUUACUUUAAAGGUCCAGACAGACUUCAUACACCAGGAUUCAAAACAACGUUACAGCUGAUCAGAGAUGUCAAGCCCACCUCAAGCAUGUAUAACAAUGGAGGAUAUUCCACUGAACACCACACCGGGGUCGGGGGGCUCAGAGGAUGAAGUCAUGAGCAGCAAGAUGGGGAAAAGGGGUGCAGCGUCCUUCUUUACAGACCAGCACUACAGAAGACUGGCCAUCUGCAGCAUCAUCUGUGGAUGCAGCUGCAUCGGGAUCAAAUCUUUAAUAAACUCAGUAAAGGCAGAGGAGGCCGGAGAUCAAAUAGUCGCAGCAAAGUAUUCGCAACGAGCAAGAAAAUUCGGAAUCAUCUCUAUUUUAACAUGGUUUUUAUGUUUGGCAGCAGUUCCCAUACUGAUGACACUGGGGUCAUAUCUGUUGACCCUGAAAGACUGAGAAACUAUAAUCAGGAAGAUCAAAGCAGCCAAACUUUACUACAUGUAUUCAUAUAUAUAUAUAUAUAUAUAACAUUGAGUAUCAGCAUUUUCUGCUUACUUACCUUGUCAUUUUAUACUUCUUCUUUUUACCAGGCCUUGUUUCUAACAAAGAAAAUAGUAUUAAACCACACUGCAAUUUUCCUACAAGCUGAAAUAUUUAUUUUAUUAACAUAUACACAAUUUAAACUAUAGCAGUACAUAGAAAACAUGACAUGUAUAAAUGGUCAUUUCCCAGUACACAGCCAGUCCCUAAGAUUUAAUUCAAAGAUCAUUUUUAAAUUUAACAAAAGAGAACCUCUUGUUGACAAAGGACUGGCUCUGUACAGGAAAUGUGACGCCACGUCUGGGACGGAGGCAGUGCUUCCAACGUGCAGCUCUUGUGCCAAGGUUAUCUUGGCAUAAUUGCCCUGUUUACAUAUUAGGUUUAAUAAUGUCAAAUGUAUAUAUGCUGUACUUUUAUACAAAACAUUUAACAGAAACAAUUUUAUAAUAAAAAAACAAUCAUUUGUGCUA